CCUACGGGUGGCAGCAGUGGGGAAUAUUGCACAAUGGGGGAAACCCUGAUGCAGCGACGCCGCGUGAGUGAAGAAGUAAUUCGUUACGUAAAGCUCUGUCAGCAGGGAAGAAAAUGACGGUACCUGACCAAGAAGCCCCGGCUAACUACGUGCCAGCAGCCGCGGUAAUACGUAGGGGGCAAGCGUUAUCCGGAUUUACUGGGUGUAAAGGGAGCGUAGACGGUGCGCCAAGUCUGGAGUGAAAUGCCGCGGCUUAACCGCGGAACUGCUUUGGAAACUGGCGCGCUUGAGUGCGGGAGGGGUAAGCGGAAUUCCUAGUGUAGCGGUGAAAUGCGUAGAUAUUAGGAGGAACACCGGUGGCGAAGGCGGCUUACUGGACCGUAACUGACGUUGAGGCUCGAAAGCGUGGGGAGCAAACAGGAUUAGAUACCCUUGUAGUC
rnacentral:rRNA from 1 species